rnacentral:rRNA from 1 species
UACGUAGGGUGCAAGCGUUAAUCGGAAUUACUGGGCGUAAAGCGUGCGCAGGCGGUUUUGUAAGACAGGCGUGAAAUCCCCGGGCUUAACCUGGGAAUGGCGCUUGUGACUGCAAAGCUGGAGUGCGGCAGAGGGGGAUGGAAUUCCGCGUGUAGCAGUGAAAUGCGUAGAGAUGUGGAGGAACACCGAUGGCGAAGGCAACCCCCUGGGACGGCACUGACGCUCAUGCACGAAAGCGUGGGGAGCAAACAGG